UGAUUUUUGCACUGUUGCAUUGCAAACAUAUUACACUGGAAUUUUUGGAAGUCACCUUGUAGAGUAGCCACCCCACGCUGUACAGAGAUGGCCAGAUCCUGUUUAGUGUUUAACGUACAAGUUCAUCUAUCAUCUUGGACAUGCAACCUGUUUAAUAUGUUUAACGUACAAGUUCAUCUAUAAUCUUGGACAUGCAACUGCAAUGGCUCUCGGGAUUGCAUGGUUUGUUAUAUAGUCAUUUUGUUGCAAGUUGUUUGUAAUUUAUCGUGAUUCGUGCUGAUCUCGUUUUUGUUUUUGUUUUGUUAUUUGUUCAGUUUCUCCACAUUUCAAUGAUGAAAAUGCCUUUUUC
rnacentral:lncRNA from 1 species